CACGCCGUAAACGAUGAAUGCUAGGUGUUAGGGGUUUCGAUACCCUUGGUGCCGAAGUUAACACAUUAAGCAUUCCGCCUGGGGAGUACGGCCGCAAGGCUGAAACUCAAAGGAAUUGACGGGGACCCGCACAAGCAGUGGAGUAUGUGGUUUAAUUCGAAGCAACGCGAAGAACCUUACCAGGUCUUGACAUCCCCCUGACCGGUACAGAGAUGUACCUUUCCUUCGGGACAGGGGAGACAGGUGG
rnacentral:rRNA from 1 species